rnacentral:rRNA from 1 species
GCUUCUGCUGACGACCGGCGCACGGGUGCGUAACGCGUAUACAAUCUGCCUUAUACUGGGGGAUAGCCUUUGGAAACGAAGAUUAAUACCCCAUAGUAAGUGAAGAUGGCAUCAUCAUCACUUUAAAGAUUACGGUAUAAGAUGAGUAUGCGUCCUAUUAGUUUGUUGGUAAGGUAACGGCUUACCAAGACUACGAUAGGUAGGGGCCCUGAGAGGGGGAUCCCCCACACUGGUACUGAGACACGGACCAGACUCCUACGGGAGGCAGCAGUGAGGAAUAUUGGACAAUGGGCGAGAGCCUGAUCCAGCCAUGCCGCGUGCAGGAAGACGGCCCUAUGGGUUGUAAACUGCUUUUAUACAGGAAGAAACACUCCCUCGUGAGGGAGCUUGACGGUACUGUAAGAAUAAGGACCGGCUAACUCCGUGCCAGCAGCCGCGGUAAUACGGAGGGUCCGAGCGUUAUCCGGAAUCAUUGGGUUUAAAGGGUCCGUAGGCGGGCAGCUCAGUCAGUGGUGAAAGUCUGUGGCUCAACCAUAGAAUUGCCAUUGAUACUGGUUGUCUUGAAUUAUUGUGAAGUGGUUAGAAUAAGUAGUGUAGCGGUGAAAUGCAUAGAUAUUACUUAGAAUACCAAUUGCGAAGGCAGAUCACUA